CCUACGGGAGGCUGCAGUGAGGAAUAUUGGUCAAUGGGAGAGAUCCUGAACCAGCCAAGCCGCGUGAGGGAAGACGGUCCUAUGGGUUGUAAACCUCUUUUGUCGGAGAACAAAACCCGGGACGUGUCCCGUACUGCGUGUAUCCGAAGAAACAGCAUCGGCUAACUCCGUGCCAGCAGCCGCGGUAAUACGGAGGAUGCGAGAGUUAUCCGGUUUUGUGGGGUUUAAAGUGAGCGUAGGUGGUCCGUUAAGUCAGCGGUAAAAUUGCGGGGCUAAACCCCGUCGAGCCGUUGAAACUGGCAGACUUGAGUGGACGAGAGGUGCGCGGAAUGCGCGGGGUAGCGGUGAAAUGCAUAGAUAUCGCGAAGAACUCCGAUUGCGAAGGCAGCGUACCGGCGCCAGACUGACGCUGAGGCACGAAAGCGUGGGGAUCGAACAGGAUUAGAUACCCCUGUAGUC
rnacentral:rRNA from 1 species